rnacentral:misc_RNA from 1 species
GGACCAUCCAAAACUCUUACCAAAUUCUUAUCAUCAAUGCUCUCAUAACAAGCCAAUGAAAACACAGAUUUCCGGAUAAAGGAUUUCUCAUCUGGACCCAUUGAUGAAUACCGAAUUCGAAGAACCUCGUGCAGACAUUGUAAGCACCAGAACUGAACUUGAACCAGUUUGGAGAAACAUAAACGCUCAAUACAUAUACUACAAAU